rnacentral:rRNA from 1 species
UACGUAGGGCGCAAGCGUUGUCCGGAAUUAUUGGGCGUAAAGAGCUUGUAGCGGUUUGUCGCGUCUGCCGUGAAAAUUCGAGGCUCAACCUCGAACUUGCGGUGGGUACGGGCAGACUAGAGUGUGGUAGGGGAGACUGGAAUUCCUGGUGUAGCGGUGAAAUGCGCAGAUAUCAGGAGGAACACCGAUGGCGAAGGCAGGUCUCUGGGCCACUACUGACGCUGAGAAGCGAAAGCAUGGGGAGCGAACAGG